CCCUUAGAUGUUCUGGGCCGCACGCGCGCUACACUGAUGCUUUCAACGAGUUUUUCCCUUGAUAGAGAUGUCUGGGUAAUCUUUUGAAUGAGCAUCGUGCUAGGGAUAGUUUAUUGCAAUUAUUAAACUUGAACGAGGAAUUCCUAGUAAACGCAAGUCAUCAGCUUGCAUUGAUUACGUCCCUGCCCUUUGUACACACCGCCCGUCGCUCCUACCGAUUGAGUGGUCCGGUGAGGCUUUGGGAUCUGAGCGGAAAGAGCGUUUCGCUGUUUCUGCUCGGAAAACUCAGUCGAACCUUAUCAUUUAGAGGAAGGAGAAGUCGUAACA
rnacentral:rRNA from 1 species